rnacentral:lncRNA from 1 species
UUCAUGAUGAACUGACCAUAUGCAUCGGAUAAGGACUGAAGGAUCACAUCAAUCUAAAAAUCCUUGUCUAAGAUGAUACCGAGCUUCUCAAGCUCCUCAAAGUCCUUGAUCAUUGUCAAACAAUGAUCUUGGACUGACUGCCCAUCACUCAUUUUAGCCUUAAAAAGUCUUUGGCAGACUUGAUACUUGGCUGCGCGACUUUAUUCACCAAACAACUCUUGUAGGUGAGCCAACAUUUGGUGGGUAGUCAUAAUAUUCUCAUGCUAGCACUGCAAGUCAU